rnacentral:ncRNA from 1 species
AAGUGGGGACGACCUCACCGCUCCAAUACACUCCGGGGACGACCCCG